rnacentral:tRNA from 2 species
CCAGUAGCUCAGUUGGUAGAGCAAUUGACUCUUAAUCAAUGGGUCCAGGGUUCGAGUCCCUGCUGGUC